UACGUAGGGGGCAAGCGUUGUCCGGAAUUAUUGGGCGUAAAGAGCGUGUAGGCGGAUAUUUAAGUCAGAUGUGAAAACUGGCGGCUCAACCGUGAGACUGCAUCUGAUACUGGAUAUCUUGAGGGUAAGAGAGGGCAGUGGAAUUCCUAGUGUAGCGGUGAAAUGCGUAGAUAUUAGGAGGAACACCAGUGGCGAAGGCGACUGCCUGGCUUACAACUGACGCUGAGACGCGAAAGCGUGGGGAGCAAAC
rnacentral:rRNA from 2 species